CGCGACGGUGAGUACACGUAUCCAACCUGCCGUCUACUCUUGGACAGCCUUCUGAAAGGAAGAUUAAUACAAGAUGGCAUCAUGAGUCCGCAUGUUCACAUGAUUAAAGGUAUUCCGGUAGACGAUGGGGAUGCGUUCCAUUAGAUAGUAGGCGGGGUAACGGCCCACCUAGUCUUCGAUGGAUAGGGGUUCUGAGAGGAAGGUCCCCCACAUUGGAACUGAGACACGGUCCAA
rnacentral:rRNA from 1 species